UGGGGAAUUUUGGACAAUGGGCGAAAGCCUGAUCCAGCAAUGCCGCGUGUGUGAAGAAGGCCUUCGGGUUGUAAAGCACUUUUGUCCGGAAAGAAAUCCUUGGCUCUAAUACAGUCGGGGGAUGACGGUACCGGAAGAAUAAGCACCGGCUAACUACGUGCCAGCAGCCGCGGUAAUACGUAGGGUGCAAGCGUUAAUCGGAAUUACUGGGCGUAAAGCGUGCGCAGGCGGUUUGCUAAGACCGAUGUGAAAUCCCCGGGCUCAACCUGGGAACUGCAUUGGUGACUGGCAGGCUAGAGUAUGGCAGAGGGGGGUAGAAUUCCACGUGUAGCAGUGAAAUGCGUAGAGAUGUGGAGGAAUACCGAUGGCGAAGGCAGCCCCCUGGGCCAAUACUGACGCUCAUGCACGAAAGCGUGGGAAGCAAACAGGAUUAGAUACCCUGGUAGUCCACGCCCUAAACGAUGUCAACUAGUUGUGGGGAUUCAUUUCCUUAGUAACGUAGCUAACGCGUGAAGUUGACCGCCUGGGGAGUACGGUCGCAAGAUUAAAACUCAAAGGAAUUG
rnacentral:rRNA from 1 species